UUUGAUCCUGGCUCAGAAUCAACGCUGGCGGCGUGCCUAACACAUGCAAGUCGAACGCGAAAGGGACUUCGGUCCUGAGUAGAGUGGCGAACGGGUGAGUAACGCGUGGGUGAUCUACCCUCGAGUGGGGGAUAACGUUCCGAAAGGGACGCUAAUACCGCAUGAUGUUCCGGGUUUGAAGACCUGGAAACCAAAGCCGGGGACCGCAAGGCCUGGCGCUCAAGGAGGAGCCCGCGUCUGAUUAGCUAGUUGGCGGGGUAAUGGCCCACCAAGGCGACGAUCAGUAGCCGGCCUGAGAGGGCGGACGGCCACACUGGGACUGAGACACGGCCCAGACUCCUACGGGAGGCAGCAGUGGGGAAUUGUUCGCAAUGGGCGCAAGCCUGACGACGCAACGCCGCGUGGAGGAUGAAGGUCUUCGGAUUGUAAACUCCUGUUGAUCGGGACGAAAAGCUUCGACCUAACACGUCGAGGACUGACGGUACCGGUUGAGGAAGCCACGGCUAACUCUGUG
rnacentral:rRNA from 1 species